rnacentral:rRNA from 1 species
UACAGAGGGUGCAAGCGUUGUUCGGAAUUAUUGGGCGUAAAGGGCGCGUAGGCGGUGCGGUAAGUCUGUAGUGAAAGUCCAGGCUCAACCCUGGGAUGCCGGUGGAUACUGUCGAGCUCGAGUCCGGAAGAGGCGAGUGGGAAUUCCUGGUGUAGCGGUGAAAUGCGCAGAUAUCAGGAGGAACACCGGUGGCGAAGGCGGGUCUCUGGGCAGUAACUGACGCUGAGGAGCGAAAGCGUGGGGAUCAAACAGG